rnacentral:rRNA from 1 species
AUGUUGGCUAAUGAAAAUAAUUGGGCACCUCCUGAGCCAACUCCUGAGCCAGCUCCUGAGCCUAUUACUGAGCCUAUUCCUAAACCAACUCCGAAGAAGAGAGGUGUUCUAUUUCUCAGUCCCGAAGAUAUGCAAGAGGCAAAGAAAUCUAUGAAAGAAAAAGGUAUUAAAGCUGAAGAUGUUAAGAAUUUACCUCCUAUUGAAGAAAUACAUGGUCUUAAUUUACCGCCUGUUGAAGAAGUAUAUGAUCUCAAUUACUUAUUUACUGAAGAACCUCCCGAUAUCCCGACACAGGUAGUAAAGGUAAAUUCUCUCUAUAGAUAUGAUAAAGCUGAAGUCCCUCCUACUAAAAUUGCUAGUCAGUGCUUGGAUGAGUUUGAUGACUUUAUGUUUAAGCAAGAUGACUUUAAUGCUUAUUUUGGUAGACAACUAAAACAAAAUACCUUUAUGAUUAAACGCUUGAGUGAUUAUAUGGCUGAUAUUAGAGGUGAACUUAAACUUGUUAGCAAGCAUGCUUCUAUGGUUACCACUCAAGUAGAACAAGUACUUAAAGCUCAGAAAGAAGUGCUUGAUGAAAUGAAUAGUAAGAAAAAUGAUUAUGCUGUUAGAGUGGCUACUAGAACUGGUAGAAUGACUCAGGAACCUUUGUAUCCUGAAGGCCACCCUAAGAGAAUUGAGCAAGAUUCUCAGAGAAACAAUAUUGAUGUACCUAGUUCUUCUAAGAGGAAGAAAAAGAAAAAUGAUAGGACUGUGCAAACUUCUAGUGAACCUAUCGCUGAACCACCUGAUAAUCCAAAUGAUAUCUCUAUGUAUGAUGCUAAAACACAAUCAGGUGAUGAACAUGAACCUAGUGAUAAUGUUAAUGAUAAUGUUCAUGUUGAUGCUCAACCUAGUAAUGAUAAUGAUGUAGAAGUUGAACCUGCUGUUGAUCUUGAUAACCCACAAUCAAAGGAUCAACGUUAUGAUAAAAGAGACUUUGUUGCUAGGAAACAUGGUAAGGAAAGAGAACCAUGGGUUCAGAAACCCAUGCCUUUUCCUCCCAAACCAUCCAAGAAAAAGGAUGAUGAGGAUUUUGAGCGCUUUGCUGAAAUGAUUAGACCCAUCUUUUUGCGUAUGCGAUUAACUGAUGUGCUCAAAACAAAUCCUUAUGCUAAGUAUAUGAAGGAUAUUAUUACUAAUAAAAGAAAGAUACCUGAAGCUGAAAUUUCCACCAUGCUUGCUAAUUAUAUUUUUAAGGGUGGAAUACCAAAGAAACUUGGAGAUCCCGGAGUGCCUACUAUACCAUGCCCCAUUAAGAGAAAUUAUGUUAAAACUGCUUUAUGUGAUCUUGGAGCCGGUGUUAGUGUUAUGCCUCUCUCUUUAUAUCGUAGACUUGACUUGAAUAAGUUGACACCUACUGAAAUAUCUUUGCAAAUGGCUGAUAAAUCAACUGCUAUACCUGUCGGUAUUUGUGAGGAUGUGCCUGUUGUAGUUGCGAACGUUACUAUUUUAACGGACUUUGUUAUUCUUGAUAUCCCCGAGGAUGAUAGUAUGUCUAUUAUUCUUGGAAGACCUUUCCUUAAUACUGCAGAGGCUGUUAUUGAUUGCAACAAAGGCAAUGUCACUUUUCAUGUUAAUGGUAAUGAGCAUACGGUGCACUUUCCGAGGAAACAACCUCAAGUUUAUAGUAUCAACUCUAUUGGAAAAGUUCCAUCGAUUAUAUUUGGAGGUUUUGAAUUUCCUCUCCCUACUGUCAAGAAAAAGUAUGGUAUUCUUAUUGUUGGGGAUUUUCAUAUCCCCGUUGAGGUAACUUAG